GGGGCCGUAGCUCAACUGGGAGAGCGCCUGGUUUGCAACCAGGAGGUUGGCGGUUCGACCCCGCUCGGCUCCA
rnacentral:tRNA from 1 species